rnacentral:lncRNA from 1 species
CAGAUAGGUAGUGUAGACACCAGAUAAGUACUGUAGACACCAGAUAGUCAGAUAGGUACUGUUUCUACAUCUGCACUGCUUGCUGUUUGGGGUUUUAGGCUGGGUCUCUGUAUAGCACUUUGUGACAUCGGCUGAUGUAAAAAGGGCUUUGUAAAUACAUUUGAUUGAUUGAUUGAUUGAUUGAUUGUAGACACCAGAUAGUCAGACAGGUACUGUAGACACCAGAUAUGUACUGUAGACACCAGAUAUGUACUGUAGACACCAGAUAGUCAGAUAGGUACUGUAGACACCAGAUAGUCAGACAGGUACUGUAGACACCAGAUAUGUACUGUAGACACCAGAUAGUCAGAUAGGUACUGUAGACACCAGAUAGGUACUGUAGACACCAGAUAGGUACUGUAGACACCAGAUAGGUACUGUAGACACCAGAUAGGUACUGUAGACACCAGAUAGUCAGAUAAGUACUAUAGACACCAGAUAGGUAGUG